AUUGAACGCUGGCGGCAUGCCUUACACAUGCAAGUCGAACGGCAGCACGGGAGCAAUCCUGGUGGCGAGUGGCGAACGGGUGAGUAAAGUAUCGGAACGUGCCCAGUCGUGGGGGAUAACGUAGCAAAAGUUACGCUAAUACCGCAUACGAUCUAUGGAUGAAAGCGGGGGAUCGCAAGAACUCGCGCGAUUGGAGCGGCCGAUAUCAGAUUAGGUAGUUGGUGGGGUAAAGGCUCACCAAGCCGACGAUCUGUAGCUGGUCUGAGAGGACGACCAGCCACACUGGGACUGAGACACGGCCCAGACUCCUACGGGAGGCAGCAGUGGGGAAUUUUGGACAAUGGGCGAAAGCCUGAUCCAGCCAUGCCGCGUGCAGGAUGGAGGCCUUCGGGUUGUAAACUGCUUUUGUACGGAACGAAAGGGUUUGGCCUAAUAAGCUGAGCUCAUGACGGUACCGUAAGAAUAAGCACCGGCUAACUACGUGCCAGCCGCCGCAGUAA
rnacentral:rRNA from 1 species